AUUGAACGCUGGCGGCAGGCUUAACACAUGCAAGUCGAGCGGGGGAGGUUGCUUCGGUAACUGACCUAGCGGCGGACGGGUGAGUAAUGCUUAGGAAUCUGCCUAUUAGUGGGGGACAACAUUCCGAAAGGGAUGCUAAUACCGCAUACGCCCUACGGGGGAAAGCAGGGGAUCUUCGGACCUUGCGCUAAUAGAUGAGCCUAAGUCGGAUUAGCUAGUUGGUGGGGUAAAGGCCUACCAAGGCGACGAUCUGUAGCGGGUCGUAGGGGAGGGGCCGCGAAACUGGGACGGAGACACGUCCCGGACUCCUACGGGAGGCAGAAGUAGGGAAUAUUGGUCAAGGGGCGGAAGCCUGAUCCAGCCAUGCCGCGUGUGUGAAGAAGGCCUUUUGGUUGUAAAGCACUUUAAGCGAGGAGGAGGCUCUUAAGGUUAAUACCCUUGAUGAGUUGACGUUACUCGCAGAAUAAGCACCGGCUAACUCUGUGCCAGCAGCCGCCGUAACAC
rnacentral:rRNA from 1 species